AGGCACCUAGAAUAUCAACAAACCGAGCAGUGAUGUGCAAAACACUUUUGAGGUUAUUCUUAAUUCUUUAUGUUGGUCAGACUAUCAGAAAAAAACAUAACUUCCUCAUUCAAGAGGCAUCUGAAAAAUUAAACAAAUGUAGCAACAACUGAUUGGGUACCAAUAAACAUUAUUUGAAAAUUUUAAAUCAACACCAAAAUAUUUGUUAAAUCAUAAAUUGUACAUAAAGUCAAUUAACAGAUAAAGACUCGCAAUUAAAUAGUAUGAAUUUUGUUAUAUCAAUUAAAAUAAUGACAAACCUGGAAUUGUUCAAUGGAAUCAAUUAAGAACUUAUACAUGUUAAAGAGUGUUUUAAAAUGAUCGUAUUCUUGAAAAAUGUCAAAACAUAAAUAAGUUAACCAAAAUUUAGAAUCAGUGCUCAUUAACUUGAAAUAGUAAAAAGAAGACACAACGGAAUGCAGAUUCUGUAAAUUACAAUGACAUUGUGGAGGAUGAAAUUCAUGACUUGGAUGUCCGUCGCAUAAA
rnacentral:lncRNA from 1 species